CUACUACUCCCUCUGUCCAACAAAAGAUGUCUCAAUUUUGACUAAAUUUGAAUGCAUCAAUACACUAAGUCAUGUCUAGAUGCAUCUAAAUUUUAACAAACUUGAGACAUCUUUUGUUAGACGGAGGGAGUAUUAU
rnacentral:pre_miRNA from 1 species